rnacentral:rRNA from 1 species
AGUGAACGCUGGCGGUAGGCCUAACACAUGCAAGUCGAACGGCAGCACAGUAAGAGCUUGCUCUUACGGGUGGCGAGUGGCGGACGGGUGAGGAAUACAUCGGAAUCUACUUUUUCGUGGGGGAUAACGUAGGGAAACUUACGCUAAUACCGCAUACGACCUACGGGUGAAAGCAGGGGAUCUUCGGACCUUGCGCGAUUGAAUGAGCCGAUGUCGGAUUAGCUAGUUGGCGGGGUAAAGGCCCACCAAGGCGACGAUCCGUAGCUGGUCUGAGAGGAUGAUCAGCCACACUGGAACUGAGACACGGUCCAGACGCCUACGGGAGGCAGCAGUGGGGAAUAUGGGACAAUGGGCGCAAGCCUUAUCCAGCCAUACCGCGUGGGUGAAGAAGGCCUUCGGGUUGUAAAGCCCUUUUGUUGGGAAAGAAAAGCAGCAGGUUAAUACCCCGCUGUUCUGACGGUACCCAAAGAAUAAGCACCGGCUAACUUCGUG